rnacentral:piRNA from 1 species
UCGCGAUGACAUAAACAGUGC